UCGCUAACAGUUCUCCAGUGGUUAGGAUUGCUGCCUUCCAACGAGGUCGUCUCGGUCUUGAGCAGCAGGGGGGGGUUCGAUUCCCUCUUGGCGCA